rnacentral:rRNA from 1 species
AUUGAACGCUGGCGGCACGCCUAACACAUGUAAGUCGAGCGAGCGGCGGACUGAUGAGUGAUGUCUGGGAAAAUGCCUGAUGAAGGGGGCUCACUCCUGGAAACGGUAGCUGAUACCGCAUACCAUCAGAUGUGCCCAGAUGGGAUUAGCUAGUAGGGGGGGUAAUGGCUCACCUAGGCGACGAUCCCUAGCUGGUCUGAGAGUAUGACCGGCCACCCUGGAACUGAGACACGGCCCAGACUCCUACGCGAGGCAGCAGUGGGGAAUACUGCACUAUGCGGGAAAGCCUGAUGCAGCCAUGCCGCGUGUAUGAAGAAGGCCGUAGGGUGGUAAAGUAAUUUCAGCGGGGAGGCGUUACCCGCAGAAGAAGCACCGGCUAACUCCGUGCCAGCAGCCGCGGUAAUUC